GGGAAAGUGGCUCAGUGGUAGAGUGCUUGCCUCGAGUGCAUGAGGACCUGGGUUCAAUUCCUCAGCACCA
rfam:Dipodomys ordii contig_6879, whole genome shotgun sequence.